GGGGAUGUAGCUCAGUGGUAGAGCGUUCGCUUUGCAUGCGAAAGGCCCCGGGUUCGAUACCCGGCAUCUCCA
rnacentral:tRNA from 2 species